UGGGGAAUGUUGGACAAUGGGCGGAAGCCUGAUCCAGCCAUGUCGCGUGAGUGAUGAAGGCCCUAGGGUUGUAAAGCUCUUUCACCGGUGAAGAUAAUGACGGUAGCCGGAGAAGAAGCCCCGGCUAACUCCGUGCCAGCAGCCGCGGUAAUACGGAGGGGGCUAGCGUUGUUCGGAAUUACUGGGCGUAAAGCGCGCGUAGGCGGUUUGGCAAGUUAGGCGUGAAAGCCCGGAGCUCAACUCCGGAAUUGCGUUUAAAACUGCCAGGCUUGAGGGCGAGAGAGGUGAGUGGAAUUCCCAGUGUAGAGGUGAAAUUCGUAGAUAUUGGGAAGAACACCAGUGGCGAAGGCGGCUCACUGGCUCGGUUCUGACGCUGAGGUGCGAAAGCGUGGGGAGCAAACAGGAUUAGAUACCCGGGUAGUCC
rnacentral:rRNA from 1 species